rnacentral:misc_RNA from 1 species
GAAACAAUGUAAAAAACCAUUUCCUAUAGGAAAGUCUAGAAGAGCAUCUGAAUGUCUUGAGCUUGUACAUGCUGAUUUAUGCGGCCCCAUGAAAACACAAUCGUUGGGUGGGAGUCGUUAUUUUCUGUUGUUCACAGAUGACUAUAGUCGCAUGAGCUGGGUUUACUUCUUGCAAUUCAAAUCAGAAACUUUUGACACUUUCAAGAAGUUCAAGGCACUUGUUGAGAAGCAAAGUGGAAAAAGCAUAAAGGUCCUUCGCACUGAUAGAGGAGGAGAGUUCGUGUCUCAAGAAUUCAAUCAAUUUUGUGAUGAACAAGGCCUGCACAGAGAACUAACAGCACCAUAUACACCGGAGCAAAACGGAGUGGCUGAGCGCAAAAAUCGCACUGUUGUUGAAAUGGCAAGAAGUUUGUUAAAGGCUAAGGGAAUGCCUGAUCAUUUUUGGGUUGAAGGUGUUGCAGUUGCUGUAUAUUUGUUGAAUUUGUCACCAACAAAGGCUGUCCAAAACCAAACACCGUAUGAAGCAUGGAGUGGAAGAAGGCCUUGGGUAAGCCACUUAAAAAUAUUUGGUUGUAUUGCCUAUUCAUUGGUAGAUUCACAUAAUCGCAGCAAACUUGAUGAAAAAUCUGUGAAAUGUGUUUUUGUUGGUUAUUUUAGCACUCAGAAGGGAUAUAGGUG